rnacentral:rRNA from 1 species
CAGUAGCCACGGGAAUACGGAGGGUGCAAGCGUUAUCCGGAUUUAUUGGGUUUAAAGGGUCCGUAAGCGGACUUAUAAGUCAGUGGUAAAAGCCUGUCGCUUAACGAUAGAACUGCCAUUGAUACUGUAAGUCUUGAGUAUAUUUGAGGUAGCUGGAAUAAGUAGUGUAGCGGUGAAAUGCAUAGAUAUUACUUAGAACACCAAUUGCGAAGGCAGGUUACCAAGAUAUAACUGACGCUGAGGGACGAAAGCGUGGGUAGCGAACAGGAUUAGAUACCCCAGUAGUCCCUGUCUCUUAUAC